rnacentral:rRNA from 1 species
UACGUAGGGUGCGAGCGUUGUCCGGAAUUAUUGGGCGUAAAGAGCUUGUAGGCGGAUUGUCGCGUCUGCUGUGAAAAUCCGGGGCUCAACCCCGGACUUGCAGUGGGUACGGGCAGACUAGAGUGUGGUAGGGGAGACUGGAAUUCCUGGUGUAGCGGUGGAAUGCGCAGAUAUCAGGAGGAACACCGAUGGCGAAGGCAGGUCUCUGGGCCACUACUGACGCUGAGAAGCGAAAGCAUGGGGAGCGAACAGG